rnacentral:rRNA from 1 species
UCCUACGGGAGGCAGCAGUAGGGAAUCUUCGGCAAUGGACGGAAGUCUGACCGAGCAACGCCGCGUGAGUGAAGAAGGUUUUCGGAUCGUAAAGCUCUGUUGUAAGAGAAGAACGAGUGUGAGAGUGGAAAGUUCACACUGUGACGGUAUCUUACCAGAAAGGGACGGCUAACUACGUGCCAGCAGCCGCGGUAAUACGUAGGUCCCGAGCGUUGUCCGGAUUUAUUGGGCGUAAAGCGAGCGCAGGCGGUUAGAUAAGUCUGAAGUUAAAGGCUGUGGCUUAACCAUAGUAGGCUUUGGAAACUGUUUAACUUGAGUGCAAGAGGGGAGAGUGGAAUUCCAUGUGUAGCGGUGAAAUGCGUAGAUAUAUGGAGGAACACCAGUGGCGAAAGCGGCUCUCUGGCUUGUAACUGACGCUGAGGCUCGAAAGCGUGGGGAGCAAACAGGAUUAGAUACCCUGGUAGUCCACGCUGUAAACGAUGAGUGCUAGGUGUUAGACCCUUUCCGGGGUUUAGUGCCGUAGCUAACGCAUUAAGCACUCCGCCUGGGGAG